UACAGAGGUCUCAAGCGUUGUUCGGACUCAUUGGGCGUAAAGGGUGCGUAGGUGGCGAUGUAAGUCUGGUGUGAAAUCUCGGGGCCCAACCUCGAAAUUGCAUUGGAUACUGCGUUGCUUGAGGAUUGUAGAGGAGAGUGGAAUUCACGGUGUAGCAGUGAAAUGCGUAGAUAUCGUGAGGAAGACCAGUUGCGAAGGCGACUCUCUGGGCAAUUCCUGACACUGAGGCACGAAGGCCAGGGGAGCAAACGGG
rnacentral:rRNA from 1 species